CAUUUGGAAACAGAUGCUAAUACCGUAUAACAAUCGAAACCGCAUGGUUUUGAUUUGAAAGGCGCUUUCGGGUGUCGCUGAUGGAUGGACCCGCGGUGCAUUAGCUAGUUGGUGAGGUAACGGCUCACCAAGGCGACGAUGCAUAGCCGACCUGAGAGGGUGAUCGGCCACAUUGGGACUGAGACACGGCCCAAACUCCUACGGGAGGCAGCAGUAGGGAAUCUUCGGCAAUGGACGAAAGUCUGACCGAGCAACGCCGCGUGAGUGAAGAAGGUUUUCGGAUCGUAAACCUCUGUGGUUAGAGAAGAACAAGGAUGAGGGUAACUGUUCAUCCCUUGACGGUAUCUAACCAGAAAGCCACGGCUAACUACGUGCCAGCAGCCGCGGUAAUACGUAGGUGGCAAGCGUUGUCCGGAUUUAUUGGGCGUAAAGCGAGCGCAGGCGGUUUCUUAAG
rnacentral:rRNA from 2 species